rnacentral:rRNA from 1 species
AGUAUAUCCGCGGUCUUACACUGCAGUCGACGGAAGGCCCUUCGGGGUACUCGAGUGGCGAACGGGUGAGUAACACGUGGGUGAUCUGCCCUGCACUCUGGGAUAAGCCUGGGAAACUGGGUCUAAUACCGGAUAGGACCACACACUUCAUGGUGAGUGGUGCAAAGCUUUUGCGGUGUGGGAUGAGCCCGCGGCCUAUCAGCUUGUUGGUGGGGUAAUGGCCCACCAAGGCGACAACGGGUAGCCGGCCUGAAAGGGUGACCGGCCACACUGGGACUGAAAUACGGCCCACUUCCUACGGGAGGCAGCAGUGGGGAAUAUUGCACAAUGGGGCCAAGCCUGAUGCAGCGACGCCGCUGGAGGGAUGACGGCCUUCUUGUUGUAAACCUCUUUC